rnacentral:rRNA from 1 species
GACGAACGCUGGCGGCGUGCUUAACACAUGCAAGUCGAACGCUGAAGCUUGGUGCUUGCACUGGGUGGAUGAGUGGCGAACGGGUGAGUAAUACGUGAGUAACCUGCCCUUGACUCUGGGAUAAGCCUGGGAAACUGGGUCUAAUACUGGAUACGACAUGUCACCGCAUGGUGGUGUGUGGAAAGGGUUUUACUGGUUUUGGAUGGGCUCACGGCCUAUCAGCUUGUUGGUGGGGUAAUGGCUCACCAAGGCGACGACGGGUAGCCGGCCUGAGAGGGUGACCGGCCACACUGGGACUGAGACACGGCCCAGACUCCUACGGGAGGCAGCAGUGGGGAAUAUUGCACAAUGGGCGGAAGCCUGAUGCAGCGACGCCGCGUGAGGGAUGACGGCCUUCGGGUUGUAAACCUCUUUCAGCACGGAAGAAGCGAAAGUGACGGUACGGGCAGAAGAAGCGCCGGCUAACUACGU